UGAUGGUGCAUGGGGAGACACUGUAGAGACAGAGUGACCACUGGCUGGGGCUGCAUCUGAGCUGCUAUCGGAAGGGUCGGUCCUGGUGGGCAGCUGGGCAAGCGAGUCAUGCCAGUAUCAACGGACUUCUGUCUGCAACUUUCCGGAUUGAGUGCCCAAAGACAGCCUUUUCUGGAGGAACCACUCAUCUUGUUCUCCACCUUCUCAAAGCACUUGUUCAAGGACAGGUUGUGGCGUACAGAGUUCUUCCAUCCAUCGGGUGCUGUCUGUGAAACAUGGUUAUCGACAAUAUACUAUGAAUCGCAGAUCCCGCUCCUCCUGCUACCGUCAUGCUAUUCAGCUGAGCUGUAAGAUUUAGCAAAGUCAGGCUGUUCUGAGCAGAGCUGGCGAAGUCAGGCCGUCCACCCCCUAUCUGCUGCAGCCGGGGAACAUCCACAGAGGUGAGCCAGGACAGGGACUGAAGAUCACCAGGCAGCUCGUCCUUUAGCUGUGAAGGGUUUUCUCGUGAAUAGAUGAGCAAAGUCUUCUUGUAAAUCUAUUGUUUGGGAAUAGAAAUAAAAAUACUCUCAUCCUCUGAUCUAAUCCAGUGCAGGGAGGGUUAUUUACUCGGCCAUUUCUUCAUUUGCUCUGAGCAUCAAGAGAGCAGAGAAACCCUCUUGAAUUCUCUCCAGACUUCCCUACAAACUCGCUAUUCAGUCCAAUAAUUGGGGUCGCUAUGACAACCCUCACUUUUCAGUUAUUUUGUGUGUCUGGACACUUCAGUGCCCCCCUCUCCAUUAAACCAACCUCUAACAGUGAUCAGGUGACCACUGCCUUCUUCACUGUCAUUGGCUGAAUCAUAUGUAAACAACGCAUGAGAUCAUUUGAAACAUGGGUAUGUGGCACACGUUGCCUGCAACAGUUGGUCCAGCCCCAUUGAAAAAUGAUCACCUAUUGUGUCCCAAACGACAAAUCUGCACAGCGGCACGUGGCUCUAUUGUUUCCCCCCCUUAGACCCUUCCUUGAUUGUCUUUACCGUUUUUUUUUAACCAACCCCUUGCAUUAAUCUACUGGAAUGACAGGCCUCACACAACAGAGAAAAAUAGGAUGCCAUCUGUUUCCCUGUCCCUUUCCACCCAACCCCUGUCCCCUUCUGCCCCAUCCCCCCUGCCUGGAGGCAUCAGACAGUACCUAAGGGGGGUAGCUGGGAGGGGGUAGUUGAAGGAGUUGGAGGUCAAGCCACACUGAACACACAGUCUGCCACCUGAAUAAAUUACAGCAUUGAAGGAAGAACUUGGGGACGUGGCCUUGAGCACCCUGGUUGCACCAGUUUAGAGCUUCUGAAUAAUUAUCCUUUACACACACACACACUCACAAAUAUGAAACCUUAGACACGAACAUGUCAACACUACACUGUUAUGAGCUUUGAAAUGUCUUCCUAACGCCUGUCCCCAUACAAAGACAUGAAAAAGACACCUUGCAAAGGGAAUGGGACAGUUUAACACCUGGCUUUAUGAGACCUGCAUCUUUCUGUUGAGUGUUAUCAUUUAAUGGAAUUAAAUUGGAUUUCUCUGCCCUUUCAUUAUAUAGCUUAAAGGGAUAGUUCACCCAAAAAUUAAAAUUCUGUCAUUAUUUACUCACCCUCAA